CCUAAAGAGGAAGUUGGAAGGAAAUAGAGAGGGAUCUAAGCCCUCUAUAGGGGUUUCUAGAUGAGAAGAUAUCAAGGGAGGUAUCAAGAUCAGCUCUAAUACAAAUAAAGUUUAAAAGAAUAUUCAAAGAAUUCCAAUGGCAGUGAUCAAUUUGGACCACCCUCACCAGCAUCCCUGUCAAGUAUUUGGAACCAUUCAUGUGCUGCGCAUUUUUUGGCUUUGACAGUAUCUGCUGUGAGCUUCAUGCAAAUCCCACAAGUGCAAGAAUUUUUGGUUCUAUAUAAUUUCAGCAUCCCCAUUUUGAGGGUAAGGUCACUGUGGUGGCCAAAGGAGAUGAAAGUUGGAAGACACAUAUCCAGGUAUUAUUAUUGUCUAUCCCUGAUCACUCCACAGAAAAGCAUGAUGUCCAUACUAAAAACAGGAUGCAGUGAAGUAUAAUUUCAGAAGAAAAGGAACACAGCCUGAUCAAUUUAUUUCCUUUCAACAUAUAAGAUGGAUGCCAUUCAAAACUAUUCACAUUACACCCAUCAGAUGAUUACACCUUUUGUCACAAAAUGUUACAAUUUGAUAGCAAUUAAAAACAGAUAGAAAAUGCCUCUGAAAAAUCACCAAAUUUUUACAAACUGCGCCACAAAACCUUGACAGGGCGAUAUCGAAUUCUUCGUGCAAUAUCUAGUGAAGCCAAACCCAAUUAGCAUGCAACCUGGAUGUGAAAUACUAACUCCUAACAUUCUUGAUUAUGCUCAGGUGCUAGUUCUGACAGCCUUGUAAUUAGCAAUGUAAUCUUUGUACCAAGUUGCCGAUAGUUUUCGAGUUCUCUUGAGAGUGGAAAAAUCGACAUGGUAAAGCCCAAACCUUAUGGUAUAUCCAGAUGUCCACUCAAAAUUGUCAAGCAAUGACCAUGCAAAGUACCCUCGAACAUCUGCUCCUUUCCUGAAAUACAUUAGUUAGACCUUGACAUUUUAAAUGGCGUCUCUUUUUUAAGACAAAUCUGAGAGACAAUUCAAGAUAUCAAGGACAGCUAGAGGCUCAAAUCAAGUAUGUUACUACCUCACAGCCGUUUCCAGGGCAUCUAAAUAGCUGCUCAUGUACUCCACUCUCUGCACAUCUUUCAAUACAGCUUUAGUUGUGACAUUGACGUUUUCCUCAUCACAAUACCCUACAAGAAUGACAUUAUGCAAGAAGCUCAGGAAGACAGAAGAAACCAUAGGUCUUUAGGAACCUUACAACAUGGUUGACCCUGACCGUUUUCUGUAAUGUACAUCGGUAUGUUGUUGUAUCUGUCUUUAAAAUAGGUCACUAAUUUUUCCAUUCCUUGAGGAUAAACAUGUAGCCAGUCAAGUGCGGUCUGCAUAAGUAAGAAGCUAAAGUUAUCUUCCAAAGAUUAGGAGAAGGCAAGUAAGUUGUAGUUAUGCAGAUAAGCAGAGGUUACAUACAGGUUGACCAAUGAAGAAACCAUCCUUCUGUGCAGUCCUCAAAUAGAGACCUUCUGUCUUGGAAACUCCUGGUCCUUGUUCACAUGUAGAAAACAUGCAGUCCUUCACAUAGAAACUAGUAUAUUGAUUGAUGCCAAUAAAGUCCACUCCGCUCUUCAGCUUCUCCAGUUCAUACUUUGAAAAUACAGGUAAAUCAGAUCCUAGAGUUUCACGCAUUUCUGUUGGAUAUUUCCCAAGUAUAAUUGGGUCCAAGAACCUGCUCAACAUGUUAGGAUAGCAUCAAAGAUUAGCUCUACAGUGUAUAUAGGGAGUUCUACAACCAUCAAAAUAUCAACAGGACUUGCGAUUUCAUUGUUCUGACGAAAAAUGAGAAAUAGAGAUGCUUACCAGUUCAUAUAGAAAGCGUUAGCUCUCUCGACUGCUAGUUUGUCUUCCAAAGAAUCACUGAUGGGUUCAUGCCAUAUGGCAUUCAUAACAAUUCCAAUACUUCCACCUUGCUUUUUCUGAACAUUAAAUGAAAGAAUAAAACUUUAAUUGAUGUUUACAAAAUCAAAACCUCUAUUUUCUAGGUCCUUGAUUACUCAUGUAUUAAUGAAUUUCGGAUAUGUAACAACAACAAUUUUCCUUGGACAAAAAUGGUGUUAGGAGUUGGGGGAGAUCAACUGAAGUACCUGGUAUUUAGUUCUGUAAACAUUGACUGCAGCUGCAUGGGAUAGGAUCAUGUUAUGUGCAGCAAUAAAAGGCUCUCUCUCUGAAUCUCCACUGCUACAGUAUCCAAAUGUCCCAGAGCAGCGAGAUGGUGGGAAAAUUCCGGAUCUGUAACCGCGAAUUGCUGCAACAUUGGGCUCAUUGAAUGUGGUCCAGUAUUUCACUCUGUCUCCAAAGGAUUUGAAACAUAUAUCUGCAUAAUAUUUGAAAUCCUCCCUGAAACAUUGAAUUCACACCAUGGCAAAACAAAUGAUAAGCAGAUAGCAUAACAAUAUUGCAGGACUGCAAGGAGAUCAAAGAAUCAGCUACUUGCUGUAUUUCAGGACUUAGCCAAGCUCCAUAUCUGUCUUCAAGUUCCUGAGGAAUGUCAUAGUGAGUCAAAGUCACAAAUGGCUGGAUACCUGAAAUCAGAAGAAGUAAAUACAAGAAUAAAAAGACUACGAUCAAAUUGUGACAGUUUUGCAGCUGCCGGAAGUACUUUGACCAGAUGAAAUAUGGUGGAAAGUAUGUACCUCUACGCAGAAGCUCGUUGAUGAACUUGUUAUAAUGAUUGAUUCCAGCCCUAUUCGCAGUUCCAAAUCUUCCCUCUGGUUCAAAGUUAAGGUGAGAAUUAGAGAUGAAAUCAACAAAUGUAAUCAAAUUAAAAACCUUCUACAGAGACUGAAAACUCACUUGGUAGGAUUCUUGCCCAUGAUAUGGAGACACGAUAGCUAUUGACUCCAAUAUACUCCAUGAGAUCCAGAUCUUCCUGUUUUCAUCAGGUCAUAACAGAACAAAUUCAUCAUUACCAUC